ACAAGUCUCUACAAGCGUCUUCCCAGAUCACAGUGUUAGGAAAGCAGAAAUCAAUUACUGUCAAAACAGCCCCAAGCAUUCCCCCACGCAGAGGCCGUGCCUGGCCCGUGGAGGCAGUGCAGAGUUUGAAGGGGCUUCGGUUUAAGUGAGUGAGGCUAGUGACCCUGCCCAGUAGUUCACUCACUUGCUUCGCUUACAGGUGCUUGCAGAGUUAUUCCUACGAGGGUAUUUAGACGCGGUCAGGUUCUUGGAAGAAAACGGCAUCUGUGACAGGCCCCGUCCGAGCCCGAGUGUGCCCUCGGCAGCGCCCGAGUUCCUUCCGUUCUCCUGGGAAACCGCGAGCCCCGAGGCUUCGCCGGGGGCGGCUGCCUGGCAGAGGAGGCCCGAGGUGGCCGAGCUGCUGGCCCACCUGCGUGUCAGCCUCCUGCCCUGGGACGAGAGCGUCCUGGAGACACUGCCGCCCACGCUCAUUGCAGGCCUGAGUGAGGCACUUAGACCCCGAGGUGGCUGCUGGAGCAAGAUCUGCAGGUUCCUACCGGUGAAGGUCAUGUCUUACGUGAUGCUGCCGUGUACGCUGCCCGUGGAGUCCGCGCUUGCCAUGGCCCAGAGGUGAGCGGUGUGGGUGGCUUCGUCUGCGCUGGAAUCCUGGGUAUGUGCAUUACUCAGCUUUCUUCAGAUGGACUUGGGUGUCUCCUUUCUUUUUAGUGAGUUAAGCCAGCAUGUCCUUCAGUCCAUCUUCUAAAGUCCAACCGUCCUUCAAAAUCCAGCUCUGUGGUCCCGCCCGGGAUGGACCUUUCUUGGUCCCUCCCGCCCGAAUGAAUGAGCCGCCUGUUCCCACGCGCCUGCCCUGCGUGGAGGCCCAGGCGUGGGGUCCUUUAGUGUCCACGGCCGCGGAGUCUGUGGAGGCCGUGGUCAGGCUUCCUCUGCUGGACUCGCACGUGGCCAAGGGCAGUCGGGCUCGUGGAGCGGGCGGUGUCUCCACUCCAAGCUCCAGGCAUCUUGAAUCUGGGAAAACCAGGCUUCUCCUUUAAUUGCCACGUUAAUCCCUCGAGCUUUCCUGAAUCAAAAGUGGCCUAACUUUGGUCCCUGGCCACUUUUUCUCAGUGGUUAGAGUGAAGGGUCCCGGCUUCGAUUCCAGUUAAGGGCACAUACCUCGGUUGCGGGAUCCCCGGUGCAUGGAUAGUUCUCAGUUUUUCAGUCUCCCCCCCUCCCUGCCACACUCCGAAAAUCAGUGGAAAGAAUAUCCUCACGUGAGGAGUAACACGCACACAGAGGGGCCUAAAUCCACCUCGUGAGAAUUGAUGGGGUUGGAAGUAGAAGUGCGCCGGCAGUUGAGCGGGACACGGAGUGUUGCUGUAAGCUCGCUGCCUGUUGUGCAGCUUUUGUUUGGCUCUCUUCAUUUUGACUCGUCUUCCUGCUGACACGGGUGUGUGUGUGUGUGUGUGUGUGUGUGUGUGUGUGUGUCUGUGUGUCUGCGCAGACUGGUGCAGUGGCUCCCCGACAUUCCUGACGACGUCCAGUGGCUGCAGGCCAUAACUUCCCAGGUUUGUUCUCGACUGAUGACGCACCUGCUCCCCACGCUCAGACUUUCGGAGUCCUAGGCUGGUGGUGGAACCCCGAAGUCCAGACUGAAGCAUGGCCUGGUGGCGUGGCUGCUCUGAAAUCGGUCCCCGAUGCGCAGCCAGGAGGGCCUUGUUCUGGUUCCGAGGGCUGAUCUUAUCCUGAAAAUCCUGGGUCUUGGCUUUCUCUGCUCAACGGCGGUUCCCCGCUCCUCCUCUGGGCUUCCGUGAGACACUGGGCACCCCUGGCCCAGUACUGGACGGGGGUGGGCACUCAGGAGGCGGGGCCUCUGUUGCUACUGCUAUUGGCAGGCAUGGGGGGUUAAAAGUGGGGGUGGCAGGCUCCGGU